UUCCCUGGUCGUGUCACAGCUGGAACUUGGGGUCCUAGGCUAUGGAGGUGGGGUGGGUUUUAUGGUAGGUGGGGGUUAUGUAGGCGUUGUUGUCGGUGGUGUCAGAAAUUUGAAGCGAGAGAGAGUCUUGGAUCGGAAGGCUAAGGAAGCUGUUCGUGAAAAGUGCCACGUAGCAAAGAAGUGCGGAGUCCGAGAGAGAUGACAGGCUGCCAGUUGGAUGGUAUACGAGAAACAGUACCAUUCUUCCUGUUAAUGAACCCUUUUUUAAGUCAUUUUUUCUCAUUUGACCCUUCCAUGGAGCAGAAGCAAAUUGCGUGAAAUUACCUCCAAGGAUUACAUUUAUUACUGGCCAAUGAGAACCCCUCGCCUUGUUUUACAAACUCUUAAUCCUAUGUCAUUCUGAUGCCGAAAACAAGCUGGGUCCUGGGCCUCCUAUUCUUUCAACUUUCCCCAGCUGGAGGGACCUCAUUCUGCACUUAAUAUUCCCCAUAAAUAUCACACGCUAAAGACCCCCUGACUUCCAGCAAGUCCACAUUAAACAUGUGACAUGUCACGCA